rnacentral:rRNA from 1 species
CACGUAGGGUGCGAGCGUUGUCCGGAAUUAUUGGGCGUAAAGAGCUCGUAGGCGGUGUGUCGCGUCGGCCGUGAAAACCUGCAGCUUAACUGUGGGCUUGCGGUCGAUACGGGCAUCACUGGAGUUCGGCAGGGGAGACUGGAAUUCCUGGUGUAGCGGUGAAAUGCGUAGAUAUCAUUUGGAACGCCAACGGUGAAAACAGCUCGCUGGGGACCUGCUGACGCUGAGACACGAAAGCCAGGGGAGCGAACGGG